rnacentral:lncRNA from 10 species
AUCAAAGUGCAAAGGUGAGCUGAUGUGUCAGAAGAAGGGGUGAAAUCUGCAGCACUUCUGUUCAACAUGCCCAAGAGGAAAAACAAGCAACAGCGACAGCACCAGAAGAGGAAGAUUCCUCAAGAUUCUGUGGAUGAAUAAUUCAGAAACGUUCCAGUUGGAUGGACUGAUUCAGGGUCUCUCAUGAUGCUGCAGCCAAGGUGUUUGCAAGCAUUGCCAUAAACUGAAAACUUGUUGGUGCCUCCACAGUGCCCAUCAUUGAAAACAAGAAGAUCCCAGAAAGCAUCAUUAUUAACUCACCACAUUUAUGGAGACCUACACUGGAUCCUAGGUCAGAACCCCUGUGAAGCUGAAUCACCUUUACUCUCCUAGAGACAGCAAGAUUGUUCCCCUCCACUGUGAGAUGGCAUCCCUUCUUCUACGUUUCACCAUUUCUGUUCACCUCAAGAUUUCCCUCAUACCCUGUUUGGCAAUUUCUGGAGCUCCCAACAUGACCAGUGUGAGG